rnacentral:rRNA from 1 species
UGGGGAAUAUUGGGCAAUGGGCGAAAGCCUGACCCAGCGACGCCGCGUGGGUGAUGAAGGCCUUCGGGUCGUAAAGCCCUUUCGUGUGGAAAGAACCGCUCACGGGCUAAUAUCUCGUGAGCCUGACGGUACCACAGGAAGAAGCACCGGCUAACUCCGUGCCAGCAGCCGCGGUAAUACGGAGGGUGCAAGCGUUGUUCGGAAUUACUGGGCGUAAAGGACGCGUAGGCGGUAAUGUAAGUCAGGUGUGAAAUCCUCCGGCUCAACCGGAGAACUGCAGUUGAAACUGCAUAACUAGAGUACAGGAGAGGGAAACGGAAUUCCCGGUGUAGAGGUGAAAGUCGUAGAUAUCGGGAGGAACACCAGUGGCGAAGGCGGUUUCCUGGCCUGAUACUGACGCUGAGGCGUGAAAGCGUGGGGAGCAAACA